rnacentral:precursor_RNA from 7 species
UCUAUGACGUGGUUAGUGGGCAUGGUGGAGUUGGGUGGACGGUUGGACUUGAUGGUUGUAGUGGUCUUUUCCAACCUUCUUCCCCCCUUCACUAUUCCAUGGUUCUCUGAUCCAUCAC